CACGAAACCCCUCCCAAAACCCUAUCGAAACCCGACCUCACUCUUGCCCCCGAAAACACAAAGCAAAAUUACACAGGAAAAGAGAGAAGAAGCAAGAAGAAGCAUGGGUUUGCAAAGAAAGCAAAUAAUAUCAUCAGCUCUUAGCAAGCACCUCUCUUUAUCUCCUGAAGCUCCUUCAGGUGACCUUGGAGAGUAUGAUAUUAAGAGUUUGUACUUGAACAUUUUGAAGUCAUCAGGAAAAAGGUCCCCAUCAAAAGAAAGUGAGGAGGUGAUGAAAUGGAUAAGCUUUGCAGAGAUUUUUCCAAUAGAUUCUCCGACAUGCUUUGAUGCUCUCAGUGGAUUGAACAAAGACUUGGCUCUGAAUUCUGUGCUUUUGGGCAAUGGAUUGACACCCUCUGAAGCUGAUAUUAUAGUUUUUUCAGUAAUACAUUCAUCUGUGAUAGGCCUUUCACAUUUAGAGAGGGAAAAGUUGGUGCAUGUAAUGAGAUGGAUGGAUUACAUCCAGAACAAGGUAGACUUUGGGAAACUAUUUGAAAAGGUUUUGCUAGAAAAGGGUGCAUUCGAACUUCAGUUGCAGGGAAUAAAAGGUGAUGCUAAAUCAGAAAUAGAUACAAAUGCAAAAAAGACCGUGGAAAACACCAAGAACAAAGAAAAAUCGGAAGCAGACCUAAGCAUGAAGAAAAGUGAUGUUGGGAAUAAGUCUACUGGAAAAAAAGAAUCUGCUCAAGAGAAGAAGAAACCAUCUGAAACAGAAGCAGGUGAGAAAGACAAAGAACUAAGUGUCAGUUUACUGAAUAUACAAGUUGGCCUUAUUCGCAAAGCAUGGAAGCAUCCCUCUGCUGACAGUUUACUGGUUGAGGAGAUAGAUAUUGGAGAUGCUAAAUUGAGGCAGGUAGUCAGUGGUUUGGCGAAGUUUUAUAGUCCAGAUGACUUGACGAACCGCCGAGUUGUCUUGAUUACAAAUGUAAAACCUGGAAAGCUACGAGAUGUGAUGUCAGAAGGCCUGGUCCUUUGUGCAUCUAAUGAGGAUCACACCAUUGUAGAGCCUUUGCUGCCUCCAGAAGGUGCCAAAGUUGGAGAACGUGUGUCAUUCUUGGGGAUUGACGGUAAGCCAGAAGAUGUUCUUAACCCAAAAAAGAAGCAGUUAGAGAAAAUAACACCGAAUCUUUUCUCGGAUGAUAAGGGUGUGGCCACAUUUAAGGGAAUACCAUUUAUGACAUCUGGUGGGCCGUGUACAUCAUCCAUUCCGAAGGCAAGCAUCAAAUGAUUCCAAUGAUCAAUUGGACCUUAAAAACGCCAUGCGGCUUACCACUUUGAGUACAUUGUACUGGACGCAUUCUAGAAAUGGCCAACCAUUCUUGAUAGCUCAUCAAGUCCCCUUUCCCAAUUUGCUCCAUCCAUGACAAUGGAUUCGAGAAGACAGAGGCCACAUGCAAAUCUGUGUUGCAGAUUGGCUGGCCAAUGUGCCCAUUACCAUGCAUGCAGGGAACGGCCACCACACCAGUGGGCACACACACUAGUUCACUUAUUUAUUGUUAUGGGUUUUCUUAAGAUAACUCCGUUCGAGGCAGUAUAUUUCCUCAUUCACU